AAACUUUCUGAAGAUAAAUCUGGAUACAUUCCUGAGUGCUGCCAAUCAUUUUUCAGAUAGGGGAGACAAAAUCAGGACAAUUCUUGAGGAAUUCAAGACAGUCCUGCCCACCCCCACGUCCACGGAAGACCCGAUCAGCAUCAAGAUGGGGAACUGGGGAGAUUUCAGGAGGAAACUGAAAGAAUAUCUCUAUGCCCUUAAGAAGUGGAUCGGUUACUAGAAUGUUC